rnacentral:rRNA from 2 species
ACCCUACGGGGGGCAGCAGUGGGGAAUAUUGGACAAUGGGGGGAACCCUGAUCCAGCGACGCCGCGUGAGUGAAGAAGUAUUUCGGUAUGUAAAGCUCUAUCAGCAGGGAAGAAAGAAAUGACGGUACCUGACCAAGAAGCCCCGGCUAACUACGUGCCAGCAGCCGCGGUAAUACGUAGGGGGCAAGCGUUAUCCGGAUUUACUGGGUGUAAAGGGAGCGUAGACGGUAAUGCAAGUCUGGAGGGAAAUGCAGGGGCUCAACCCCUGAACUGCUUUGGAAACUGUAUGACUGGAGUGCAGGAGAGGUAAGUGUAAUUCCUAGUGUAGCGGUGAAAUGCGUAGAUAUUAGGAGGAACACCAGUGGCGAAGGCGGCUUACUGGACUGUAACUGACGUUGAGGCUCGAAAGCGUGGGGAGCAAACAGGAUUAGAUACCCUUGUAGUCG